GUUAGUUGCCAUCAUUCAGUUGGCACUCUAGCGAGACUGCCGGUAAUAAACCGGAGGAAGGUGGGAUGACGUCAAAUCAUCAUGCCCCUUAUGACCUGGGCUACACACGUGCUACAAUGGUUGGUACAACGAGUUGCGAGUCGGUGACGGCGAGCUAAUCUCUUAAAGCCAAUCUCAGUUCGGAUUGUAGGCUGCAACUCGCCUACAUGAAGUCGGAAUCGCUAGUAAUCGCGGAUCAGCACGCCCGCGGUCGAAUACGUUCCCGGGCCUU
rnacentral:rRNA from 1 species